rnacentral:rRNA from 1 species
CCUACGGGAGGCAGCAGUGAGGGAUAUUGGUCAAUGGGGGAAACCCUGAACCAGCAACGCCGCGUGAGGGAAGACGGUGUUCGGAUUGGAAAACUCUGUCCUCCGUGAAGAUAAUGACGGUAGCAGUGGAGGACGGUCCGGCUAACGACGUGCAAGCAGCCGCGGUAAUACGUAGGGAGCAAGCGUUGUCCGGAUUUACUGGGUGUAAAGGGUGCGUAGGCGGUGCUGUAAGUCAGAAGUGAAAUCCAUGGGCUUAACCCCUGAACUGCUUUGGAAACUGUAGGGCUUGAGUGAAGUAGAGGCAUGCGGAAUGCCCGGUGUAGCGGUGAAAUGCGUAGAGAUCGGGAAGAACACCAGUUGCGAAGGCAGCCUGCUGUGCUUUAACUGACGCUGAAGCACGAAAGCGUGGGUAUCAAACAGGAUUAGAUACCCUUGUAGUC